AAGUCGUAACAAGGUUUCCGUAGGUGAACCUGCGGAAGGAUCAUUACAAAUAAAGCUGGUAGGAAGUGGGGUCUUGAUCUGUAAGUGGUAGAGCGAACAGUCCGGCUGCCUCCGAAAUGUCUUACAUCGCCAUCCCCAAGCCAUGGAACUGGCAAGGCAAGUAAUCAACCCAUGCCAUUUGAUUAUCUACACUUGUUGCUUUUGGGGGUGCUCAAGUGCCCCAGAGGACCCAACUCUCUUGCAUUUAGUGACGUCUGAGUACUAUAUAAUAUUUAAAA
rnacentral:misc_RNA from 1 species